GUACAAUUCAAACAGUAAAUAGCGAUCAGAGAGAGAAGAGAUAAAUCGAGUGAGAAAUAAAGCGAACGUACCAAAGCGGGUGACACAAAAUAGACCACAAUGCCCUGUCCAGCACCCUGCUGUGACCUACUGGAUACCUAAGGUGACAAAAAUAGACCACAAUACCAAGGGCGUCAGUUUGUUUUUAGAAGUGGUGGGGACAAUAACCAUAAGCUUGAGUGUGGUCUGAAAAGUGCUGGGUACCCUUAUGUAAGCUAUUCAUCCAUUCAACGCUGCAUUACAAUAUGCUCUACAGUGUAUUGUCAGGUGUUGAAAUUAUUCGAAUAUUCGAAUACUGGUUCGGAAAAUUAGUAUUUGAAGCUUAAAUCAGUAUUCGAAGCUUCGUUAUUUUUUUUUUCCACGUAGGUGACUUUACCAGAGCGAGGGAGGCAAACUAUAAGCGUCAGCGACACCAAGCAGAGAAGCGAGAGAGGUGGAGGAAGAAUAGAUAUCUUGUUUCCCUUUACUUUAUAACACAACAUUAGCGGGAUCUCUGGAGGAAAAGUAAUACUUAAAACCUUAGAUUAGUUGUUUGUUUACGUUCGCUGUACAGCGCCGCGCCAAUCAACUGUGACUGGCUUGCUGCAGAGCGUGAGCGUCUUGGGAAUACCCGGUCAAUAUAAUGGAUAUAAUAUGGACACAUAAGACAAUCAAUAUUCGGUAUUUGUUAUGGAUUUAUUGUACAAAUUCCCUGAAAAGAUGCACGUUAUGCGAGAACAUAUUUAUGUCAGGAUAGGCCUACCAGGCUCCAAGUCGUCACGUAUCUCAAUCAGACAAAACCAACUAUAACCACAUUGGCAUAGCAAUCGCACCGUGUGUAGCUGCUACUAGCUGCAAUCUAUAUAUACAACGCAUACUAACUGGAGCACCAACCAGAAUCAGAUCAAAAUCGCUUGGGACCGUUGGUAACCUUUGGCCAGGUCAUCACGAUUCACGAGCAAACAGAACCAGCAGCAAAGUUUACGUAAACCAAUUUCUUACCUUAUGUGGCCCUCCACAUGCAGGCUAGAUGACGUAUCCAUAUCGAUAUCCAGUGUCACAAACAUGCUUUUUAUAGGAAGCAAAAGGACCGGCUAUUUUCUGAAUAAAAAUGUCAAUUUUGGCUGUCUGUCUUGAAACUUCUCCAGUGCGUUCACCCCAAAAUGCAACGGGACAACAAGAUCCCAUACAAAGUGAACGUAUAGACGCGUAUCGGGCGAGUAUUUUUGAUUCGUCGCGCCACACUUUCGCCGUGCACAGGCAAGCGCGUUCACGAGGAUUUGUGCCGCGAAAAAUGUCAACUUUGACACGAAUUUCGCGUGAUGACAGCCAAUCAGCGUUCAACAGCGUGGCCACUGAGUGACAUGUGUAACGUAACAGCCAAUCAGCGUUCAACCGUCAAACUCAGCGCAGUGCAGUCCGGGGUGUACUGCAGCAUGGAGGAGAAAGUGAUUGUUGCCGUUUGCGACUCUCGGAGCUCUAUAUAAAAUAGUAUAUAAUAUAAUAUAAUUGUAUAUAUAAUAUCACGGCCAAAAGCUCUGUGUGCCUCCGGAUGGCCGUAGCGCAGGGAGCUCAUAGGGAUUGGGCUUCUCGGGAGUCGGGGUUUGUUUACUGGCGUUGCCAUGGGUUCCGGUCUUGUGUGUUCCAGCGGUUUAUUAGGUAGGCCUAUCUAAUAAAUGAUGUCUUCGAGCGCGCCUAUCACAUGAUUUUAGACUCGACGAUUUCGGUUGAGUAUGUGGGGAUUUUAAUUGUAUUUUUUUUUUUUCCCCUUUUUUAAAAGUGGUGGGGACAAAAUUCGUUUUUCAAAUAGUGGGGGGGACAUGUCCCCCCCGUCCCCCCCGUAAUCG